AAGCACUAGAUUAUCAUUAAAUUAUUAUAAUUAUAAGGCAGUCUUCUUGCUGUUUUUUCCCUGGCACAUUCAUAAUCUUUACUUCUGCGGUGC